GACGAACGCUGGCGGCGUGCUUAACACAUGCAAGUCGAACGGAAAGGCCCUGCUUUUGUGGGGUGCUCGAGUGGCGAACGGGUGAGUAACACGUGGGUAACCUGCCAUUGACUGUGGGAUAACUUCAGGAAACUGGGGCUAAUACCGGAUAGGAGCUCCUGCUGCAUGGUGGGGGUUGGAAGGUUUCGGCGGUUGGGGAUGGAAUCGCGGCUUAUCAGCUUGUUGGUGGGGUAGUGGCUUACCAAGGCUUUGAAGGGUAGCCGGGCUGGGCGGGGGACCGGCCAAGUCGGGACGGAGAUACGGCACAGACUACUACGGGAGGCAGCAGUGGAGAAUAGUGCACUAUGGGCGGAAGGCUGAUGCAGCACCGCCGCGUGGGGGAUGUCGGCCAUCGGGUAGGAAACUGCUGUCGCCUGUGACGAAGCGUUAGUGACGGUAAUGGGUAAAGAAGCACCGGCUAACUACGUG
rnacentral:rRNA from 1 species